CCAACAAGUAACUCGCUUGAUGGUUCUUGCAGUAAAGAGCAAGAAGCUCCCAUGGUCUCUUCAGUCACUUCUGGCAGUGGUAGCUCACUUUCUACUACUGACAAUAUACCUGAAGAGGAAGCUGAGAUUAAUGAGCCAGUAGAUGUGUACUUACCCAGUACUAUUCCUGAGGUUGCUGAAGCUGAAACUUCUGCCAACAAAACCCGUAAUGUUUCUGAUGCAGAUGUUCCUAUUGAAACUAAUGAUGUUGUACCCGGUGAAAGUGUUGAAACUGCUGAACAAGCUAGCACUAUCCGACGUUCAACAAGAAACAGAGAGAAACCCGAAAGGUUGCAAUACGCAAAUCUUGGAAAUCCACUCGUAUCUAUAGUUCAGUCUUUAUUCCAAGGCUUGAGCAUAGCUUUUACUGAUGCAUUGUCAGAAACAAAAGACUCUGAAGCAAACUUGAGUUUAUCGUUUGAACCUAUCACUAGUCAACCUUUGCCAUGCACAGGGACGUGCAUACAUUCAAGAGGGGUAGAUUUAACCCAGGUUAAAAUAUGAUAUUCAUGGAUUGUUUUACACUGUUUGUUUUGAUGUUAGCCUGAAGUGGAGCGAUGGUUCGAUUUUGUUUUGAAAAUAAAAUAAAUAAAAAUACUUAUUAAGUUGGCACAACUAAUCAGAAACCCCCAAUUCAAUAACCAAUCAGAGACAGGUGCCUAAUAAAACUUGCGUGUGCUCGUUCUUCUUUCUUUUUCAUACCAAGACGAGGAUGAGAGCAGCCACGUUGACGAACAGAGAUUAAUUUAGAAAAAACAUUCAAACAAAAAAAAUCACUCAAACAGUUAAAGAAUAAGCUUCACAUUGUCGGGUUCUACCGAAUUGAAGAUUGCGAGUUGUGGGGAUUCUGCAGUCGAGAUUUUGUACCGCAUUGGUAAGAAAUGCCGUUGCUAGUAUUGUAAGUUUUUUUGGAGAGUUUGAGUUCGAGUUGAUCCUGGAUUGGAUUCCACAUUUGAUGGCGAGCUACAACCCAACGGAGAAGAACUUCAAAGAAUUGCAUGCAGAAGAUUGAGAGACUUUGUCCUAUACACACCAGUCCACUCUGCAGUGUGGUAGGGUGUGCAUACCGGUUCUAGGUAUCAAAGAUUUGUGUGUUAGCUACAUUGUUAUUUAGACCAUUGAUAUUGAUGUAUUUUCUUUUCUUUUGUUACCCGGGUAACAUUUAAAAGGGGAAUUAUUUAUAAGGUAUUAUUUGAAAGGGGAUUGUUUGAAAAAGUAACAUUUCAAAGAUAUCGGAAAGAGUAAUAUUAUUGAAUAAAUAAGUUGCGUUAAUAUAUAAAUAAAAUUAGAACUUAAUAGAUAAUGAAUAGACGUUAGUACAUAAUAUUAAUAAUAAUAAUAUUAAUAAAUAGUAAAUGGAUAAUAACAAAUAGGUAAUAGUUAAUGCAUAAAACUAAACGGUUAAUAAGAAACUGAUAAUCAAUAAU